GGAACACAGGAUCGCAACCUCCUUCCCUGACUCAUUCUGCCCGUCUGACCUUAGGUCAGGGCACCUAUUUGCAGCCCAUGUUCUCAAUGCUAGGGCUUAGUGGCCUGGAGACUGGUUCUGACUCACAGCCUUUGAUAUGGGCCUUUGGCUGGAUGUCUCUGCAUCUGGGUUAAGCAAGCCUCUUCUGCACAUUAACUUGCAAAUGGCUGCCAUCACUUUCAAUUUGCAGGACCUUUUCACCACCAACCUUUGGCGAGCUCAUGUCCCAUAUCAAGUUCCCAAGACAGAGUCUGUUCAUCUUUUGGUGCAAGGUAAGACUUGAACAGAUGAGGUAUGGGUGUGAAGCCACUAACUGUAGAUGGGGCAGGCUCUAAGGAACAUUUUGUUUAGUUUUCUCUCUACAGCCAAUAAUCACAAUGGUUUGGAGAUGAGGCCUGAUUGCUUUGGAAGAUGUUUGGAGAGAAAAGGAGAGAGAUGGGUUAGAAGCCUGAGGAGACAUUGAGAUGGAGGCAUGGUGGGUCUCCUUUGCUUUGCCAAGUGCGUACCCUUCCGUGUCUCGCAUCUGACCUCUGCUGCUCCCGGGACCCAGAACGCCCACCACAGUGCUGAAUUUCUCUGAGCACAGUCUGUCUACGCCUUCCACCCAUGGAAGUGAUGGAUGGGUCAGAGAGGAACAAGUUGACCAAAUCGAGUUUUCUCUCACCUUUCCCACAGGCUUCCUGUUAUUGAGGUUUUUGUGACCUGGGCCCACUGAGACCUCAUCAGCUUAUACUGUGACUCUCCACCUUUCUGAUCUUUUCAGUUCCUGCCAGAACCAGUUAUGUUUCCCUUACAGCAAUCUAGCUGUUUCCAAACCUGUCUGGUGAAUUGGUUCUAAAGGCCUCUUGACCAUUUCAUUGGGUUGUUACAGCCAUGACUCCACUUCUUUUUUAAAAGUAUUUUUAAAAUUAAUAUGUAUUAGUCAUACAACUUAAAGGUGUUCACUGUGAUAUCCCCAUAUGUGUAGCCAUUGUGCAUUGAUUGUGCCCAUCCAUCUCUCAUGACCCAGGUCAUCUUCCCCCAUUCUUCCCAGCACUCUUUCUGGCUCCUAGAAGUCCUUCUAAAUUCCCUUUCAUUUACUUUCCCCAGUUCUAGUUACUAUUCUUCUGUUCUGUACCUAUGUGAUGUUGACUUGGGCUUUACACGAGUGAGCAAGAUGUGGUGUUUGUCCUUCUGUGUCUGGCUGGUUUCACUCAACACAAUUGUCCUAGUUACUUUUCUGUUACCGUGAAGAGACACUGUGGCCAAGGUAACUUAUUAAGGAAAGCAUUAAAUUGAGGGUCUGCUUACAGUUCCAGAGGGUGAGUCCAUGAUCAUCAUGGUGGAGUGAAUGGAGGCAGGAAGGUAGGCUCUGGGACAGUAGCUGAGAACUAUAUCCUGAUCCAUAGACAGAGAGAAACUCUGUGUUUGACAUGGGCUUUAGAAACUGCAAAGUCUACCCCAGUGACACACUUUUUCCAACAAUGUCAAACCUUCUAAUCCUUCCCAAAGCUGUUUCACCAACUAGGGACCUAGCGAACAAAUAUAUGAGAGUAUGGGGGUCACUCAUUCAAAUCACCAUAAUGUACUCUGGUGUCCAUUCAUACAGUUACUAAUUAUUGGAUUCCAUUCUUCUUUAUGGUUGAGUAGUAUUCUAUCAGGUAAACAUAGUAAGAGAAUAAACAAGGUGUCCCUGAUGUCCAUGUCCCCUAUCCCUGGAGGAAAGUCUUUUCUUUUUUGUAAGAAUGAGGCCAGCAAAUGAAUAACAGCUAACCCAAGGGGCCUGGGAAGGGGACCAUCUGUCUCAACCAUAUAGCACCGGUUGUUUGGGAAAAGUUUCUAUCACUAGCAACCAAGGAGGCCAGGCUAAUCAAAGGGCCAUUUAUUUGUAUGUGUGUCUAACCUGUAAAGAGGUCUGCAGGAAGAUUCGAAUUCAGAAAACAAACCCCCAUCCUAAUGCCAUAGUUAUCAGCUGGUGUAUUUCCUUCUAGUUUUUUCUAUGUACACGUUUUUAAAUAUAGUUUCUAGUCAUGGCUGCCAAACUUGCUCACAACAUGUAGUCAUCAUUUGCCAUGUUGUUAGAAGAAUUCUACAAACUUUAUCAUAAUGAUAUAAAGGUCUGCUGUGGCACUGAGAGGACAUAGUAAAGUCAAACCCAUCACCCCCAUCUUUUCCAUGGUGACAAGGUGAGGUUUAACCAGAAGGCAAGGUCAUUCAUUUUGGGAAAUGAUUACUUCCAAGGUGGGAACUGGAGCUCUUUGAGAUUGGGGAUGGGGUAUGGAGGUUCUUCUGCUCUUGUAUGCUCCCAAUGGAGAGCUGACAUGGGGAGUAUUCCCUGGGUAGCAGAGUCCCUCUGGAUUCUACCCACAGGCCCUGUCCAUCCAACAGCUAAAGCCAUACCCCCUACUUAAAAUUGAGCAAAUAGAUGUUGAAACAUCAGAAAUUCAGGGGUGGGGGCAGU